rnacentral:lncRNA from 1 species
AUGCUCUCUGUGUCUAAAUAUAUACAUAUAUAUUUAGGUUCCAGAUAUACAUGUGAUAUACAGUGUUUGUCUUUUUCUGUUUGGCUUAUUCACUUAGGACAUAAAUGCCCACCAGUUUCAUCCGUGGUGUUGCAAAUAGAGGGAUUUCCCUCCUUUUUAAACAAAAACAAAAACCCCAUAAGCUAUGUAUGGAUAAGUAGGAGCCGUGAAUUGACAGAAGUGUGAGUCAGCAGAAACUGAUAAUAGAGAGUAGAGUGGGGACUGCAGAGAAACAGGCCAACACCCAGAGGUGCCAGGCCCCGUGAUGGUGGAGCCACAGCACAGAGCUAGUGUGUCCCUGCUGAGGGGCAUCCACACGUGUUCCCCUGAGUUACAGUAGAUGCUCUCAGGUGACUAGAGCUGCUGCUGCCACAGAAAGCUAACUUUGAUCUUUCCAAUCUUGUUAUGAAACCUGAGACUUAUUUCUCUUCCUUGCAACCUACUAAGCCCUGACGGACAACCCCAGACACAUCAAAGCAGAGACUCAGUUUCCUCACCUGCAAAAUGCUCACCGCUGUGGCUUUCAGGUUCAGCAUCCAUCCCUUCCUUGGGUUGAUGACUUUUAUCUGAAACAUUGCACUUCUGGGCCUGCCAAUCUUGGACCCCACCUCCAAGGGCCACAAAAAGCAGGCUUCUGGGACAGACUCCAUUGCAGGUAUGGGCCUCUUUUGCAGAGACACCUCCACAGCAGGGGUUGGAACCCUGGAGAGCUCCUGGGUCCCUCUGGCUGGGAUGUUAUGAGCUGUCCUGGUUCCUGUUUUCCAAGGCCUGUUUAUUCAGCUCUUUUAUUCUGGGACUUUCUAAAUUGCCUUUUAUGGAGCCCCGUUUCUGUUUUAAGUAAUAAGGCUAAAUGGACACACCCCUCACAGGGUUGAUUUGAAGUGAAAUAAGCGACUCCUAGACAGAUGUUCCUUCCUGCUCCUGGUUGUUCCCUUCAUCUGCCUUCUCCUGCUCCACCUGAGCUAACAUUUCUGGGCUCAGUGUACCAGAGUUCUUACACUGUUCUCCUCUCUUGAAUGAAUAUUCUAAGUUAAACCCCCCACCCCCCUCCCGCCCCGCAACUUACGUGGCCUUUAGUCCUUCCUAAAAGCCUUUUCACGCUUCAGUUUCUGUGUACUCUGAGCGCUAAGACAAACAGGGCUCCUCCGCAGUACCUGAGGUAUCCCAGUAGGUGGCAGCACAUGACCACAAAUGUCCUGAAAUAGCCCAAGGCCAGCCUGGUGGGAGGGCGAGUGAGAUACUUGGGGCUGAGUAUUUAUUAGUUGCGUCAGAGGUGACUAAGAGGGAAGAGGAAGGAAAGUGGGCACCUGCUGGCUUUGAGGAAACAGAGUUGUUUGAGGUUUGGAAGGUUUGGAAGACAGGAGUAGUUGGAGCACCCAGUCCAUGGACCAUCCAUCCAUCCAAUGAAUGUUUUUGAGCAUAUGUACUAGGCUCUGGAGAUGCAGUAUUGAACCAGACAGAUACAGGCAGCCCCAGCCCUUGUUGAGCUGGCACCUAACUUUGAGCNCUGUGUGUGUGUGUGUGUGUGUGUGUGUGUGUGUGUGUGUGUGUGUGUGUGUGUGUGUGUGUGUGUGUGUGUGUGUGUGUGUUUAGGCCCCACCUUUGGCAUGGAAGUUUCCAGGUUAGGGGUCCAACUGGAGCUGUAGGUACCAGCCUACACCACAGCCAGAGCCAUGCCAUAUCUGAGCCAUGACUGUGAUCUAUACCACAGCUGAUGGCAAUACCAGGUCCUUAACCUGCUGAUCAAGGCCAGGGAUUGAACCUGCGUCCUCAUGGAUACUGGGGGGAUUUGUUACCACUGAACCACAAUGGGAACUCCUUUUUUUUUUAGUUCAGUAGUCAUCAUGUAGCACAUCUUCUGGGCUUGUUUUCCAUCUGCAAAGUGAGAAUAAGCCGUGAACCUCACAAGUCUAUGAUGAGACUUAGGUGCUGGCACCCAGUCUGGGCUUCUUCCCUUUCCCUCUGCGCCAUAGCCCUUCACAGGAACUGAAAACACUUGCUGAAGCCUCUGGUCACCCAAGUGGGGACACAUUGUUCUCCUGAAUCACAGGGAAGCACUGGCUGGCCCACCCUUUCUGCACAUUCUGGUUGAGCCUUGAAGGUGAAGAAAUCCCCCAGUGAGAAACCUCUGGGACAUCAGAAGUUUGACUUUGAUGACUUGUAUCUAUUCUAGGUUUCAGAGAAAAAAAUGUUUCUAAGGAAACAAGUUGGAGAUGUUACUGUACAAAUAGAUGUCGCAUAUGCUGAUAGAUAUGUAUACAUGCUGAUAUAUAUCAUAUACACACAUACUGAGAUACAUAUAAAUAUACAUGUGUAUAAAUACCCACACAUAUAUACAUACUAAUACAUACACGUAUACAUACUGAUAUAUAUCUUAUAUACUGACAUACAUGUGCAUAUACAUACAUGCAGUAUACAUAUGUAUAUGUAUAUCUAUCAUUUACAUGUCAACUAAUAUGUCAUAUAUACUGAUAUUCACAUACAUAUAUACAUGUGUUUAUACUGUGUGUAUAUGUGUACACGUACACACAGAAUAUACACACAUACACAUACUCAUAAGAAUAACCGGUACCACGUUUUAUUGAGUGCCAGUGUUGCUUUCCUCAUUUUGUUGAUUGUGAAGAACUUUUGAGCCAGUCUGUUGUGCCCCUGUGACUAGCAUUUCCAAUAUUAUUACCCUAUUUCUAUUGUAAUAUAUUCUCUUAAUGUAAACCAGAUGUUAUCUGAGACCUUGUGAUCUUCAUAAAAUUUCCCUGAAUGUCCAUGUCCCUUCUGCCUCCCCGCCCCCCAUCCUGUUUCUGAGGAGGACUCACCGCCUCUCUAGGUUUUCUGCUGAUUCCUGGCUCUUCCUGCCCUCAUUGUUUCUGGAAUGCCUAUGACCUGCAGCACACCACUAUAUAUA